rnacentral:rRNA from 1 species
UACGGGGGGGUCAAGCGUUGUUCGGAAUUACUGGGCGUAAAGGUCUCGUAGGCGGCCAACUAAGUCAGACGUGAAAGCCCCAGGCUCAACCUGGGAACUGCACUCAAAACUGCCUUUCUUGAGUGCCGGAGAGGAAAGCGGAAUUCCUGGUGUAGAGGUGAAAUUCGUAGAUAUCAGGAGGAACACCAGUGGCGAAGGCGGCUUUCUGGACGGUAACUGACGCUGAGACGCGAAAGCGUGGGGAGCAAACAGG